AUAGGUCUGGUGACAUGUCUAUUUGGUUCUCUGUUGAUAGGUCUGGUGACCUAUCAACAGAGAACCAAAUAGACCAUGUCACCAGACCUAU
rnacentral:pre_miRNA from 1 species